rnacentral:misc_RNA from 1 species
GAACAAUUAGCAGGGCAUGCGCCAUACCACACAGGCCCACAGACAUGUAACUCCGCCUCAGUCCUCGCCCCUUGGUAUACUCCGUAUAAUGACCGGCUCGCACGCAGCACCCUCCAUCCUCCAAUCGCGUGAUUCAAACGUCAACCGCCGACGCGGCCGCACAACUCAUUUCCAGAGCUUUACAGAUCAGCCCCCGAGUUCGCGACCACUCCGCACCGCGCUUCCUUUAUAUGUAGUGGUCUCCUCGUUGCCACCCGUUCGCUGCGAUCCAAACGCGCGACGCGACUUAUUCAGCACCACCGCCGCCUUUCAUUUUUUCCUUCGCAUCUUGAGAGAGAGAGAGAGAGAGAGCGGAGGAGGAGAGCAAGGAGAUGGGCGGCUUCGACCAGCAGGUGAAGGAGCGGACCAAGGAGCUGAAGCACCUCAAGACCGCGGCGAUGAAGGGCAUCAAGGCGGCCGGCGAGUCGUGCAAGAAGGCGUGGAGCAAGGUCAGGAGCAGCAUCAAGCGCUAAAAGGCCCUAGGCGUUGUUGCUCUGCUGCUGCGUGGUUUUCUGAGUUGUGGACUGUGGUAGAUUUGCGCUUGUGGUUUCUGUUUGUUGGAUCUACUUAUUUAUUUUGGAUAUACAUCAUGUGUGAAGAUCUGCAUGUGUGUGUUCCUAGUGUUUUUUGCUUCUGUUCGUUCGCUGUGUGAUCCUCUUCGAGUUGUUGUAGCCACAGAAAGAAAUCUUCCGUGCCAACAAACUCUCUAGUCUGGAAUGGAUAUUCACCGCACACCGAAUUUUUUUUACAAACAAUUUCCACAUCUUUGUAGAUGCAACAUAGGGCCCGCAUCACUUUAUCAUCGUUGAGCCUACUUUGGUUCCUGAUCCCUCACCUUAUCUAGGCGGCUAGGCUCUGAAAUCAGGAUGUUCAUCUAUAACACCGACUACC